AUAUCUGGUAUAUAUAAUAUACAUAUAAUAUAUAUAUAUUAGCGUAAUUUAUAACUUCGUACUUUUCCUGUAGAUACAACUAUAACAAUGUCACACGCCUAAUUUAAACAAUAAAAAUUGCAUUAUUAAAUCGCUUAUUGUCCGAUGCCGAUUACAUCGUCGAAGAAAAUUAUCACGAGGGGUGUUCAUACUAUCUUAAAAGCAGACAUUUUCGGAAGCGUUUCAAAUAACGAUCAAGGUGAUUAGGCUACCCUAAGAAGGAAAAGAAAUGAGAUUACUUUCUACGUGGAAGCAGCGGUAGAUGGACACAUCUUUCGGUCUUUGGACCCACCCACGAAAUUCCAUAACAUCUGACGCGAGACCAUCUGUCGAUUCGACGAAUUCUUUGCCUGCUCAUCUCGUUCUCCUUCACCUUCGGUAGAAAAACUUUCCGAAGUAUUCACCGCGGGCCAAACUAUGAGCCCUAAUUACACCGGAGUCCACUUGACGAUCAUCGAAAGAGUUCACUCCGGGCAGAGGUACCUUCUUCUUCUUAUGCUUCUUACUCCUCUUCUUCUUCUUCUUCUUCUUCUUCUUCAUCAUCUUUAUACUGAACGAACAAGCUAUUCUUGCCUCCAGUUUGAAUACUCUGUUAUCUUCAACCUGGAAUGUCCCUGAAGGUACUUAGAGAUUUUCAGUAAAUUCUUUUUUCUUUUAUUCUUUUUUUUUUUUUUUUUUCUUUUGAAAUCGACCGAUUAAUAUUAUAUUAUGGAUUUCGAAUAAAACGCCAUACAUAUCUCAUUUUAAUGAUGAAAAUAGAAAGGAAAGAAAAUUGAACGCUUAUUUUUCAACCAUGGACAAUCAUCUACUUAUUCCUUUUUUUUUUUUUACAAUAGAUUAUCGUAUAAAGGUUGAAGUCGAAAAUAACCGUGACCGUGUAUAGUACAAUGAUAAUAAUCAGAUAAACGUUAUUCUUAGAAAGAUUUACAGUUUCUCCUACAGUUCAUCCUCCACCGAGUUAAGCAAUUAAAAGAAUUGAGGUCUUUGAGUUGGGUCUAUGUUGUGUCCAAGAUCACGAAAAUUUAUCUAGCGAAGUAGAAGGAAGAUGGGAACUUGGUCGAUGGAGAAAUAUAGAGAGAAAGAGAGAGAGAGAGAGAGAGAGAGAGAGAAGGAAGAGGACUCACUAUGCAUUAGGCUAAUCACAUCGUUAAAUAAUUCAUCACGCACGAGGCAUUCAAAUUAAUAACGUAUUACGAGAAUCGCCUUCAAUCGAGCUCGAGCGCACGAAUUGCUUUGUAUACUCUAUCAUUUCUACAGUGAUUCUCAUUCUAUCGUUUAGAAAUCUCUAUGUUUUAUAUAUCUCUAUCUCUCUCCCUCUCUCUCUUUUUCUUUCUCCCUCUCUCUCUCUUUCUCUCCCUCUCCUCCUCUUUCUCUUUCUUUCUUUCUCUCUCUUUCUCCCAAUUUUUAUAUCUCUCUUAUUUCAAAUUUCGUAGAAAAAAACGUGUUAAAUGUAAUCAUUGAAUGUAAUCAUUGAAUGUAAUCAUUGAAUGUAAUCAAUUAAUUAUAAAAUUUCUAUACUAAGGAAGGAAUAUAAUUUGAUGAUAAAAUUUGUAGAAAUGUGUACCACUGUCUCAGUUGAAAUCGCAUUCAAAUGAGAGGAGAGUGGAGAGAAGUUCGAAAGAGAAACGAAAGAAAAACGAAAGAGAAACGAAAGAGAAACGAAACGAAGCGUACGCACGCGGCUACGAGCCACCCCAGGCUCCGAGUAUAAUCAUUCUCGGAAGGGCAAUUCCGUGGCAGGCGCGCAGCACGAUGAUAAUAAUAAUUUAAAUCGCGGCCACUUAGCAUACGUGUAAUUUGGCGCUUAAGAUGAUUUCGCGUCGCCGUCGAAACGAACGAGAUUCGCGCGACGUGUUCGAAAAGGUGGAUAGGACCAACGGGGUGGACCGAACGAAACACCAAAAUUUCUCCUUUUUGAAAGAGAGGGACUUUUACCUCGAGGCGUUGCCAUAGUAAAGGACAUAAUCGUCUUUGAUGGCCGAAUAAAAUGCGUUGAAACGCGUAUAAUUUAUUUCUCUUUUUUCCUUUAAAGAAAUCUCUUUCUUUUCCUAAUAAUAGAUCAGAUAAAUUUAUUUAAAUAUAUUUCAUCAAAUAUAGAUCAAGAAAAUACGAAGGAAUUAAAAAAAGAAAGAAACAAACAUUGAAUUAUGUUUAAAUAUGGCCGAAGAUACAUUUUGACGUUAAAUAAAAAUAAAAAGUGGUAUAUUUAAGCGUUAAACAAUUUUUUUUUGUUUUUUUUUUUUUUUUAUCGUUCGACGUUCUCACUUUAAACGUUCCUAAGAAUUUUCUAAGAUCACUUCGAGGUAAGUUCAGUUUGAAAAUUCGACUAUGAGAGUAACACCUGGAGGUGUUUUUGUCGUAAAGGGUUUCAAAGAAAGUCGGAACAGGUCUGUCUAUAAUGCGACUCUUAAGGAUAGUCAUUAGACUAAAUCAUUAUUCAGUUGUCGUUAUGCCCUUACGGAAAGAGUAAAAUUUCGCGUGACAAAAAUAUAGAAAUGCCUACGGCGAUGAAUAGCUAACGUACUAUCCGCCAAAGUUGUGGACGCAAAAAAUCAUUCUGUUUAAAACGAUUAGAGAUUAUUAUAGGUAUUUUCGCGAAAAUAUUUGCAUGAAGAAAUUCGAAAAUGUUCGGAGAAAAAACAAAUCGGUCGGUGAGUAGAGAGAGGAGAUUGGGGUUGGAAUUGGGGUGGAGAACGGUUAAACGGUGAUUUAUCUGAGACAGGUGUAAAAAGCACGCUUAUUUAACAUAAUUAUAAUUUAAUUAACGAUUGAAAUUAUAAGAGUUUUGUAAUAUUUUUCUUUCUUUUUCUUUUUCUUUAUUUUCUUUUUUUCUUUUUUUUUUUUUUUUUUUUUGAGGAAAAAGAUCACGAGUAUCGAUCAUCGUCGUCAUUUUUGAAGCCGAGAAAGAUAAUCCCAAUUUCAUAAAUUCCUUUAAAAAAAAAAGGAUCGUCCGUCCGUUCUGUGAUCUUGUAAAAAUCUUAGCGUUUGAAAAAACUCAACGAGCACGCUUUCACGAUGCAAUUUAUCACCUGGGAUCACAGUCAUUGCCACCCCAGCAUAGCUGAGGGGGAGGGGGGCGAGGGUGCCUUCUCCCGCUCUUGCCAUAACUCUUUGUAAUAGCUAAUAUCUCACGAGAGUCAUACAAAUGCGAAUCGGUUACUAGUUACUACUUACACGAGGUAAGGUGAUUUAUCGGCGAAGGGUAACGCGCAGGCAGAAGCGGUAAGAAAAAGAAGGUGAGAGCGCUAUGCGAAAGCAAAGUGUUGUAUGUGUGUGUUUGUAUGUAUGCGUAUGUGUGCGAAUGUAUAUGAGUGAAAGAGAGAGAGAGAGAGAGAGGGAGGGUAAGAGAGGACGAAGAAGAAACUCGCGAGUGCAAAUCACUCGGAUGGCUCUACGAUGCUGCCAAUUAAGGAACAGUUUUAAUCGUUCUCGCCUAAUUACCGGGCUAUUACAUUGUCUCUCGAGGGUAAAUACGUCGGUCCAAAUAGCCCCUCUUGCAAAUAAAGAAUUCAACAAGGAACGCUGUGAAACUCAUACGUCGUUACAUUCAUCAGAUCGGCAACAACAUUCGUGAAUGUCGCGGGAAUCUUUACGGCACUUAAAAGAAUAUUUACUGAAAGUAGAUUAAAAUUCCAGACUCGUAAUAACUUUUUUAAUUCGCUAUUCUCGCGCCCCGUCGGUCAUAAUCGUCCGUAGAAAAUGUUUUAAUAUUGCUGACGAAUAUUUUCUUAAUCGUCGCGAUCAACGAGGAAAAAGAAAAAAUUGGAAAAAUUCUAAACAUCCGUUCUAACAAUCCUAAAUAUCUUUCGAUUGACGUCGGUUCGAGAAAAAGAAAACCUUUGGAACCUUUUUUUCUAAAGGAUCUUCGAAGCGUUCCAUCACGGUCCGCGUUGAAUUUACGAAGUUCUUCUUUCAGAGAUGGAACCAGUCGCCCUUAAUAACCACCCUCGCACAUGGCCUAAGGAUCCAACGCGACCUACAAUCACGCCAUAGACAACUUGCAGGGACUCGAUCAUUAUCACGGCCAAUAAUCACCGAGACGUAUUCCACUAAGUGCUCCCCUCGGUUGGAACAUUUCUCUCUACCACCCUUAGCUCGUGUCCUUCUUCUUUGCCCAUCUCUCUCUCUCUCUCUCUUUUUCUCUCUCUCACACCAUCUUCGAUACCAUACUCAUUUCUCUUCUUCUUCCUUCCUCCUCACUCUCACCCGUCUACUACUUCUCUAUCCGUCUGUUAUUUCGUCCGCACGACGAACAAUAAUCAAAGACCUGAAAGAAAAAGAAAGAGAGAGAGAGAGAGAGAGAGAGAGAGAGAGAGAGAGAGAGAGAGAGAGAAAGAAAGAUGGACGGCAUCUCUAAUUCGGUGCAAUUACAUCAAACGAUUAAAACGAUUUUAAUUGUCCGACGCGUGGAAUACCUCGAGGGUAAAAUCAUGUUAUAUCUUUCCUUUUACAAAAACGUGAUCGUCUCUCUUUUAUAACGAUUCGAUUCUAGCAUAAACAUCGGGGUAUCAGCUUAUCAUUGAUUUAAAUAAACGUAGAUAUAUUCUAAUCACCUGACGCGUAAUUAAAUAACGUCGCUUUACGAUCCUACCGCAUACUCAUACCUAAUAAUAUACUCCCACGAGAAACAUGGUGGGGAUCUUAUAUCUCCUGUCCUCGAGAUUAGAGGAAUUAGAUUCACCGCGGGACACGUACCAAACGGCAGGGCAUCGAGUUGAAGAGAAACCAGGAGCUGUCAAGGCUAGACUAGCUCGGAAUCUGAUAGAAGUCUGAGAAGGAGUAAGAAGAGGAGGAGAGAAAGGAAGGAAGAUACGCAUAAGCGGGGGGUUUCUUAAAACAUCACGAGGAAGACUCACGUAUAUCACCGCGGGGCUUCCUCGUUUCUCGGAUACGCAAAGAACAGAAACGAUAUUAGUAAUGGUGAGGUCGUAAUCGUAGUCGUACGUAAUCAGGAUCAACAGACGUGUCCUUUUUUCACCUUGACCACCAGCCGGCCACCGAAAAUGCGUUCUACCUUUCCACGCGGACGUCCUGCUGCUUUCUCUCUCCUUUUCUACCUCUCUCUCUCUUUCUCUCUCCCUCUCUUUUUCUCAAUUUCUCUUUUUCUCUCUCUUUCUCUAUCUAUCUCUUUACUUUUCUCUGUUUUUGUUUCGCUUUUCAACGUAUCGUUCCGAAACACCAUCUGAGAGUCGGCAGUAACCUCUAAUUAAAAUUAACGAUAAUAAGCACGCGAAAGGACACGGCACCCCCCAUGAAUCCGCUACCGUCAAUUAACUCGUUGGCUUGACAGAAACAACGCGAUUCACGCAGCGCAAAUUUCGUCUUUAUACUGACUCGAAGUCUACAAUUUCUUGUUACCAACUUGAUUACGAACGGAUAAGGUAAAGGCGUGUUCUCAUCAUCCUCUAUAAAACAAACGAUGUUGACGAUUGUUUAGGAUUAUGUUCGUAGAAACUUUUUUUCAUCGACUUGAUCUUCGGUCUUAAAUUUUGCAUUAUUUUUAAUAGAAACAUUUCGUUCCUUUUCACAUGUCAGACACGGGUUAUGAUUUGUAAACAGGUGGAAGGAUAAAAAUGAAAUUAUAAAAGGUCUCGGAAAAAAAAGAAAAACAUCAUCCAGAGUUAUCCUUUCGCAUUUGAAAUAAAUUCUAGAAGUGUGUGGCUAUUCUUUCUAUAGCAUUUGUAUUAUUAUCGCGUUCGUCGGCUAAUAAACCUAUAAAUUCCGAGGAAGCUCCGGGAAACGGCGUGGAGAUGAUGAAACGAAUGUUUAUGGCGUUUCUUCUCCUUGCAAAAGAGAGAAAGGGAAAGAGAAAUAGCGUAGGGUGGUAGGAAGAAGCGUGGAGGAAGUAAAAAGCAGGAACGAAGCCACCGUCUAGAGGCUUAAUUGAAUCAACGGGCAAACGAAUAAUUCUUUUAUUUCCACUUAAAUCUUCGAGCUUACGAUCGUUAUUGUUCCGUGUUCUGACAGCGGGGCGCUCGUUAGUUCUACCUUAGGUAGAACCGAGUUUUCUCUUUCUUUUGAACUCCGCCGUAGUUCGUGGGACGAGCGCGAAGGGAUGUAUGGUAGGGAUAGGUUGGCCUUUCAGAAUGAAAACCACGACGUUUAUUGCUCAAGCGGCUUUUGAAACGUGCUGAGUGCCUCGACAGUUAUCGCGUGUACAUCGCGAGGGGAACUUUUCUGAACGAAGAUCGAUGAGAUUUAUGGAAAGGUGCUGCACGGAGGUUUCGAUGCGUUUCCUAUGAAAACGGUUUGUAUUACAAAUCGUGAUAACUCUUCUAAUUUACGAUACUCUUAAUCACCGUUUAGCUUAGAUCGUAAUAGAUGUUAUUCCUUUUGUAUUUUCCUUUAAACCAGAUAUAACUAACUAACUAACAACGAAGGAAAAAAUUAAAACGAUUAAGAUCUUUUAUUACGACCAACGGAUAUUAUCGUUUUAACGAACGAUACGAUGUUAACCUUAUCAGAUGAUUAGAUAAAUAUUUAAAAGACAUGUUCGAAAAUCCAUAACCAUGUCAAGACUUUCUAUCUCUACCGAUCACUGGCGUCUCCUCGUGGCUAUGACUCGAAACUAGGUGCAACAGGUGUCUCGUGGUUACGGCGGUGAUGGUAGGACAAAAAGAGAGAGGAUCUGAGAUAGAAAGAACGAUACCUCGAAAGUAUUCCGAUGCUAGAUGAAAAGAAACGUUGGAGUUAGACGAUAGGAAUGGUUAGGUCGGUCAAUUCCAAUCGACUGAACUGAAAUUUCUCAUGACAAAUGACUUUUGAUUUUCAAUUAUAAUUAAUCUGCUCGAUCAUCGAUUAAGGUUGUCUUAUCGAUUAGCCUUGCGCGACGUAACAAACUCCGAAAGGCAAGAGGAUCGAAAACAAAAAAAAAAAAAAAACAAAAAAAAAGAAAAAAACGAAAGAAAGAAAGAACAGAAAAAGAAAAAGAAAACAAAAAAAAGAUAUUUUCUGCGGCACAUGACGCGUAAAUUGUGGAGAGAUGAACGUGCAGAAUGCCAGGCACGUCGUAUCACCCUGACGUAAAAGGGGGCGCGAGAGUAUAUAAAGCGGACUAUGUAGAUGGGUGGGCUGGACCCCAGUGUUGAUGGUUUAGCAUAAUUGCACGAUUUUUUAAAUCCCGUGUGCGCUCUGUGUGGUCAUCGAAGUAAUUAACCGCUCCCGCGCUUACAAUGCAUCGCGUAUUAAAAUCGCCCUCGGCAUUAUUAAUGUAUCCUCGGGAAGAGAGCUCGAAGAUAAAAUAUCUUUUUCUGUUAGGAUUUUCAAAAUCGCUGAAAUCGAAACAGGAAUUAACCGUUGUUAAAGUUUAAAGUUCUUUUUUGAUCUUACUUGAAAAUAAGUUUAGUCUUGAAUCAUAUCAACGUUCUAAUCAAAAUUCUAAUGAAAUAUUUUGCAUUUUCUGGUUGCGACGUGAAAAUCAUACGUCAAACGUUUCUCUUAUUUGACGAGCCAUGAUAAAUCUACGCACGUCAUCAAGGAAACUAGAAAACUAGACGGUCUCGCGGUAACGAUGCACUUUAAAUGCAAUCACCGAAAGCAACGAGAAGUUGGGAAUAUGACGACAAACCAUCGUAAAACGUUUAUUCGUCGAGCUUUUAAUCGUACGACGCUCGGAGCCUUUGACGUCGGUGGUCACGCCGCCAAGACCGGAUGCCACUGGAGAUGCUUAUUAACCGGACGUUCUGCUUGCUAGUUUUAAACCGAUUAUAAAGUCAGACUCGACUAAAUGCGAUGAGAGUUUUGAUACUAAACGAAUAAUAAUGAAUAACAUUGGACGUGACAUUUUCUAAAAAGGUGUUCGAUAAACAAUCGAUCAGGUUAUUCGUCGUGAUAGGCGUCACUCUGAUCAAUCAGGUACUCGGCCAAUUGACUAGACGUUUAGUUCGUUUCAAGUACGUACACGACCAGUAGUCCUAGCAAGGCCGACUGGCGCCGAGAAGCGCUUAUUAGAAAGUCUCGGUGCACUGUCGGUAUGCGAUUGUUCACCACGAUUGUGUCUCAUUUAGAUUCCUACCGCAUUCUCCUCUACCGCUUUGACUUUAGUCGCUCGUAUCUCUUGGUUUCUCUCUUGGUCCAACCAACUAUCUUUCUAUCUCUUUCUUUAUACCGUCUAAAUUCGCAAUUGUUCUUUACAGUCGAUUCGACGAUUUGUUUACGAUCGAGCAUCGACAGAUAGUUAUUUCUAUAGGUAUUUGUCGUAAGGAAAAUAUUUUAACUUUCCCAUUGCAUACUUGAAUUAACAAAGAAUAAAAGGGGGAAGAAAUUAUUAUGAAUGGUUAUUAAGGAAUCGUGUAACUUGGUAUUAAAAUUAGAAAAAUUUAUAAUAAUUAAAAUUAAUGAAUUUUUGGAGUAAUUCCUUGGGGAGAAUAUUUAAAAGGAAUAAUUAAAUGUCAUUUGAUAUUAUUCCUAUGAAAUUUUUAAUCAACGAUACGUUCGUUGUAUGUAUCACGAAUUAUAAUCAACGAAAAAAAAAAAAAGAAAAAUAAAAAAGAAAAAAGAAAUUCGUGUUCGAGUAGUCAUCCAGCAUGGAAAGAAGUCAGCGACCGGCAUUAGGCGCAUUCAAAGCAUUCCCUAAUGUUUUACGUGAGGAUUUAUAACAUAUUUAGCGAGCGGCCUACCGAUACAACCCAAGAUAACGGCGAGCGUUCGUAAAACUUACGCACACGCGUGCCCUUCUUGUUCAGAGAUUUAUGUACAUACCUACAGCGCACAGAACACACCGUUGUCGCCAUUGUGCGAGCAUUAAGUAAUCUGGACGGUGCUUCAUCAUUGCCGAUAUGUAAUAAGAAAUUUAAAAAGAAAAAGUUUAGAAACGAUGAGAUAUUCCGUCCUAUCGUUUUGUUAAACAUUUAUCUUUUCUUUUUUUUUCUUUUUGUUUUUUUGGUUUUUUUUGUUUUUUUUUUUUUUUUUUUUUUUAAGACUAGG